AAGUGGCCUUGGUGUGUGCUUACUUGGUGUUUUGACAGCCUGUCCUGGAUUGUUUCUAGCACAAAUCAUACAAGCUUGGGUGUGUUUAGCUGCUACAACAGUAAAUCCAGGUGCCACCCAAUGGGUGUUUACUAUGCAUUUCAUGUGCAUCUUGGAAAGAUGUGUAGGUCUCUGGGCCAUCAUGGGGUACAACAUUCGUGGCAAACAGUCUUUUACCUUUCCUCCACAUUCUGUCAUCAUCCGGUUCUGCAUCUUGUUUCCUCCAGAGGUCAUAUUCUUUCUUGCUUGCCUGUCUUUCUAAGCUCAGCAGAAUAUUGUAGUCAACAGCAUCAUCUGUAAGAACAACUUGCAGGAAGGUAUCUAAACCAGUAUAGCUUAGUGAAUGUAUCACACCCACUACACAGAACCUGUCUCAAGGACAUAACAUGAGUAUUAGAAUUUUCGUUGUUACUUUGGAGGAAAAUGAUUAUUGUAAAUAUGUAAACACUUUGAAUUAGUUUUAAC